UGAGCAAUCUGCCCUUCUCUUCGGAAUAAGCGUGGGAAACCGCGUCUAAUGCCGAAUACGACCUCCUUUCGCAUGAUCGGAGGUGGAAAGCUCCGGCGGAGAAGGAUGAGCUCGCGGCCUAUCAGCUAGUUGGUGUGGGUAAUGGCCCACCAAGGCGACGACGGGUAGCCGGCCUGAGAGGGUGACCGGCCACACUGGGACUGAGACACGGCCCAGACUCUUACGGGAGNAGCG
rnacentral:rRNA from 1 species